rnacentral:rRNA from 1 species
ACAGCCAGGAUGUUGGCUUAGAAGCAGCCAUCAUUUAAAGAAAGCGUAAUAGCUCACUGGUCGAGUCGGCCUGCGCGGAAGAUGUAACGGGGCUAAACCAUGCACCGAAGCUGCGGCAGCGACACUAUGUGUUGUUGGGUAGGGGAGCGUUCUGUAAGCCGUUGAAGGUGUGCUGUGAGGCAUGCUGGAGGUAUCAGAAGUGCGAAUGCUGACAUAAGUAACGAUAAAGCGGGUGAAAAGCCCGCUCGCCG